rnacentral:ncRNA from 1 species
UCAAAAUCAUGGAUUAGGAAGAGUAGCUUUACUGUGAUAUCAAAGAGAGCCUUCGUUGGUGGGAGAAGGUAUAUCGAGGUACUGUGAAUGGCCCUAUGAGAUGCGAGGCGAACCAUUUUGCAGUAGCCUUUGCCGUUUCCUCACGUUAUCGAGGUAGGAUAUGUUUGUAUCCGAUAGAGAUGGAAUGUUACAUUCCAAGAAGGAUGGUACCGCGAACUUAACCGUUUGCUCCUUAG